rnacentral:rRNA from 1 species
CUUGCUUCUCUGAUGUUAGCGGCGGACGGGUGAGUAACACGUGGAUAACCUACCUAUAAGACUGGGAUAACUUCGGGAAACCGGAGCUAAUACCGGAUAAUAUUUUGAACCGCAUGGUUCAAAAGUGAAAGACGGUCUUGCUGUCACUUAUAGAUGGAUCUGCGCUGCAUUAGCUAGUUGGUAAGGUAACGGCUUACCAAGGCAACGAUGCAUAGCCGACCUGAGAGGGUGAUCGGCCACACUGGAACUGAGACACGGUCCAGACUCCUACGGGAGGCAGCAGUAGGGAAUCUUCCGCAAUGGGCGAAAGCCUGACGGAGCAACGCCGCGUGAGUGAUGAAGGUCUUCGGAUCGUAAAACUCUGUUAUUAGGGAAGAACAUACGUGUAAGUAACUGUGCACAUCUUGACGGUACCUAAUCAGAAAGCCACGGCUAACUACGUGCCAGCAGCCGCGGUAAUACGUAGGUGGCAAGCGUUAUCCGGAAUUAUUGGGCGUAAAGCGCGCGUAGGCGGUUUUUUAAGUCUGAUGUGAAAGCCCACGGCUCAACCGUGGAGGGUCAUUGGAAACUGGAAAACUUGAGUGCAGAAGAGGAAAGUGGAAUUCCAUGUGUAGCGGUGAAAUGCGCAGAGAUAUGGAGGAACACCAGUGGCGAAGGCGACUUUCUGGUCUGUAACUGACGCUGAUG